rnacentral:tRNA from 1 species
GGGGCUGUAGCUCAGUGGCAGAGUGCUUGCCUCACAUGUGCGAGGCACUAGGUUCAAUCCUCAGCUCCA